AUUUUGCCUUAAUGCUAUUUCUCGAACUCAGAAUACUUGAGAUCUCCAAAUAAUCUUGUACCAUGAAGUUUCCUGUCUUUUUCCUUCUUGUUGGCCUGAUCAUUUCCCAGGUUGCUGCACGUCUCUUUAAAAACGAUUGUGAGAAAAACAGUGGCUACUGUCUUCACAAGAGUUUUUCCUGCCCCUUGAAGAAGACUUUCCCAUUUGAUUGUGGCAAUAAAGACUUGAUCUGUUGUCCAAAGUAGAAAGGAUGUGAACCUUCUUAGUGAUAUCCUGAUCAAAGCGACAGAUCUCCACUCAGUCAAUUACUAUGGAUUCCACAUGUGCUAAGAACAUCAACAUUAAAUCAAUCCCAGUAUGAUUAUGAAAAGCAUACCAAAAUAAUAAAGACAUGGAUUUGA